rnacentral:rRNA from 1 species
CUAUGCGCCUUGCCAGCCCGCUCAGUCAGAGUUUGAUCCUGGCUCAGGACGAACGCUGGCGGCGUGCCUAACACAUGCAAGUCGAACGGGACCGGGGGCAACUUCGGUUCAGUGGCGGACGGGUGCGUAACACGUGAGGAACAUGACCUUCGGCGGGGGAUAGCCGGCCCAACGGCCGGGUAAUACCGCGUACGACCUUUCGGGGACAUCCCUGGAUGGUGAAAGCAGCAAUGCGCCGAUGGAGUGCCUCGCGGCCUAUCAGCUAGUUGGUGGGGUAACGGCCUACCAAGCAACGACGGGUAGCUGGUCUGAGAGGAUGGCCAGCCACAUUGGGACUGAGACACGGCCCAG